UCCAGAAGAGCAUGGUCCUAUGUAAGAGA
rnacentral:piRNA from 1 species